GUAGAUGGACCUGCGUUGUAUUAGCUAGUUGGUAAGGUAAGAGCUUACCAAGGCGACGAUACAUAGCCGACCUGAGAGGGUGAUCGGCCACACUGGGACUGAGACACGGCCCAGACUCCUACGGGAGGCAGCAGUAGGGAAUCUUCGGCAAUGGACGAAAGUCUGACCGAGCAACGCCGCGUGAGUGAAGAAGGUUUUCGGAUCGUAAAGCUCUGUUGUAAGUCAAGAACGUGUGUGAGAGUGGAAAGUUCACACAGUGACGGUAGCUUACCAGAAAGGGACGGCUAACUACGUGCCAGCAGCCGCGGUAAUACGUAGGUCCCGAGCGUUGUCCGGAUUUAUUGGGCGUAAAGGGAGCGCAGGCGGUCAGGAAAGUCUGGAGUAAAAGGCUAUGGCUCAACCAUAGUGUGCUCUGGAAACUGUCUGACUUGAGUGCAGAAGGGGAGAGUGGAAUUCCAUGUGUAGCGGUGAAAUGCGUAGAUAUAUGGAG
rnacentral:rRNA from 1 species